UGUAAGCGUAUACCGAAGUUGUUGCAGUUAAAACGCUCGUAGUCGGACUUUGGCAGUUCCGGAUGUGUGCACGUCGUGUGCGCACUUCGCGGGGAUUGCUUUUGUGGUCUUGCGUAGGAUGAGGCACUUUUAUUAGUGAACGUCCUCACGCAACCACUUUUUACUGUGAGAAAAUCAGAGUGCUCAAAGCAGGCAUUUGCCGUGAAUGUAUUAGCAUGGAAUAAUAGAAUAGGACUUGGUUCUAUUUUGUUGGUUUGUUGGGACUGAGUAAUGAUUAAGAGGGACAGUUGGGGGCAUUUGUAUUUCGGUGCUAGAGGUGAAAUUCUUAGAUUACCGAAAGACAAACUGCUGCGAAAGCGUCUGCCAAGGAUGUUUUCAUUGA
rnacentral:rRNA from 1 species